rnacentral:lncRNA from 1 species
UCAAUACAUCUCGAGAGAGAGUAUUGAAUAGAUUUAGGAGCAUUGAUUUGUCAAAUUCUUAUUGAAUUAUCAAAAUUGUGAAAUUAGGGUUUAAUUAGUAAUUAUGUGGGGAUUCGUGAUCCUAGUGCAUUUGUUUUACAUAGAUUUUCAUAAAUUGACAAUACAUUUCAUUUAUUUUUAUAACAUUUCGUAAUUGAGUCAUUCGUUAAG